UACGUAGGGUGCAAGCGUUAAUCGGAAUUACUGGGCGUAAAGCGUGCGCAGGCGGUUUUGUAAGUCUGUCGUGAAAUCCCCCGGGCUCAACCUGGGAAUUGCGAUGGAGACUGCAAGGCUAGAAUCUGGCAGAGGGGGGUAGAAUUCCACGUGUAGCAGUGAAAUGCGUAGAGAUGUGGAGGAACACCGAUGGCGCAAGGCAGCCCC
rnacentral:rRNA from 1 species